UACAGAGGUCUCAACCGUUGUUCGGAUUCAUUGGGCGUAAAGGGUGCGUAGGCGGUCGUGCAAGUCGGAUGUGAAAUCUCAGGGCUCAACCCUAAAACUGCAUUCGAUACUGCGCGGCUAGAGUGCUGGAGGGGAGACUGGAAUUUACGGUGUAGCGGUGAAAUGCGUAGAUAUCGUAAGGAAGACCAGUGGCGAAGGCGGGUCUCUGGACAGUUCCUGACGCUGAGGCACGAAGGCCAGGGGAGCAAACGGG
rnacentral:rRNA from 1 species